CCCAGGCGCACCCAGAAACCCUUUGUGAACUCAUACCUUACUGUUGCCUCGGCGCAGGCCGGCCCCCCGGGGCCCCCCGGAGACGGGGAGCAGCCCGCCGGCGGCCGACCCAACUCUUGUUUAUACACCGAUACUCUGAGAAACAAACAUAAAUGAAUCAAAACUUUCAACAACGGAUCUCUUGGUUCUGGCAUCGAUGAAGAACGCAGCGAAAUGCGAUAAGUAAUGUGAAUUGCAGAAUUCAGUGAAUCAUCGAAUCUUUGAACGCACAUUGCGCCCUCUGGUAUUCCGGAGGGCAUGCCUGUUCGAGCGUCAUUUCAACCCUCAAGCCUGGCUUGGUGUUGGGGCGCUGCGCCCCUCGCGGGGCGCAGGCCCUGAAAUUCAGUGGCGGGCUCGCCAGGACCCCGAGCGCAGUAGUUAAACCCUCGCUCCGGAAGGCCCUGGCGGUGCCCUGCCGUUAAACCCCCAACUUCUGAAAAUUUGACCUCGGAUCAGGUAGGAAUACCCGCUGAACUUAAGCAUAUCAAUAAGCGGAGGAA
rnacentral:rRNA from 1 species